ACGGCAAGAGCGCGGCCGAGAACCUGCAGGCCGCAUAAGCUAGUGCGCUGGUCGUUGACCACGGAUGUACUGGCACCGGCUGCAGAGCGCAGAUCAGAGAGGUCGGGCAAGUCCCGGCCUUUUUUCGUU
rnacentral:sRNA from 1 species